ACAGUUGGAUAUAAGAAGAAAGAGGAAGGAACAUGGGAGGGCACUUUCUCUGAGGCUCUGAGCAAUAUCUCUGGUCCUUUGACUUUCUAGUGCAGGCAAAUUUUACAAGGAUACAACAAUAAACACACAGAUUCCUCGUAUCUUUGUGGUUAUGGAUGCACUUUGCAGGUUAAUUAGCAUCAUCUUGUUGAAGAUUAUUAGUACAUUCUGGUUUUGACUAGCAGCCACUGGUAAAACUGUUAAUAUUGCCCUACGAUUAGCCAUGGUUAAUGGUUUGCUCUG
rnacentral:lncRNA from 1 species